GCCGCCAAAGCCCGCGCCAGACCCGGAAAGCGCGGUCGUCCUCUGCCUCCGGGAAGCGCGGCUUGGAUGGGCUCGCCGGGGCCAGGCUGGGCCGGGGCUGGGCGCGCGGUCACCCCCGGCACUCAAGGACUUCCCGCACCAACCCAUGCUGAGGAGGGGCUUGGUGGCAGCCUCAGGAAACACUCCCAUCGCCAGCCACCGCAGCAGGGAAAGCACCUGGCCUCACCAGCUCCAGGCUUCCAGAAGGAGCUGCCCUCCUGACUCGCAGCCGUCGAAUGUGCUUAGCUCCCAGCACCUGGGCCACUCAUGGACAGCACUCGCACGUGUUCCGCCCCGCCCCCCACCUCCAUGGCUCAGCCGGGCCUUGGCACUCCUCUCUCCAUGUGCCUGCCUGUCUCUGCGGACUCCUGGCUAGGGCUCAGCUGCCCAGUAGCCUGUGGAAGGGGGAACUGGUGCAGUUAUCAGUCAAUCCUCCCACAGGGCUGGGAUUACACACGUGAGCCACCGCACCCGGCAGUCAUUGCUGAGUCUAAGGACAUCUCUGCAUGGGUGCUGUUGUGCCUUCCUGUCGAUGACAUAUCCAUGUCACCCACACACACCUGUAUGCUGACAAACACGGACAUCUAUGUACAUUGGAGAAACCUGGGGAAAGCCCCAGGCUAGCCAUAGCCCUCCCAUCCAGCCAGCCAGUCCCAUGCUCUGUGCAACCUCAGAACCUUACUGAGCCACACAUCACCUGGUGGGUUUUAAUUCUUUAGUGGCGUUUUUGAAGAGUCUGUUCCUAUUUUCCUUAGACUGUCCCACAGUCUGGAUCCUUGGUUAAACGUUUGGGGCAAUGAUGAAGGGAGGUGACAAGUCAGCAGGAGGUGCAGGACAUCAGCGUGGCCAUGAGUGAGGACGUGAAGUUGAACCACUUGGUCAGCUUUGGGUCUGCUGAAUUCCUCCAUGGUCAAGGUCCGUGGCUCCUUGUGGAGUAAUUAAGGCAUGCGUGAGGUCAUUCUCUGAGACCACAAGCAUCAAGUUUUCCCAAUAACCAUUUGCCCAACAGUUUUAGCAUCAGUUAAUGAGUAGAUUCAGUGUUAAACCGUAAAGCUGCAAAAUCAUGGCU